GUGUAGCGGUGAAAUGCGUAGAUAUCGGGAGGACACUGUGCGAAGCGCUCACUGGACCACAACUGACGCUGAUGCGCGAAGCUAGGGAGCAACAGGAUUAGAUACAUGGUAGUCCUAGCCCUAAACGAUGAUUGCUUGGUGUGUCGGGUACCCAAUCCCGCCGUGCCGAAGCUAACGCGAUAAGCAAUCCGCCUGGGGAGUACGGUCGCAAGACUGAAACUCAAAGGAAUUGACGGGGGCCCGCACAAGCGGUGGAGCAUGUGGUUCAAUUCGACGCAACGCGAAGAACCUUACCUGGGCUCGAAAUGUAGUGGACCGGGGUGGAAACAUCCCUUCCCGCAAGGGCUGCUAUAUAGGUGCUGCAUGGCUGUCGUCAGCUCGUGUCGUGAGAUGUUGGGUUAAGUCCCGCAACGAGCGCAACCCUUAUUGUCAGUUGCCAUCAUUCAGUUGGGCACUCUGGCGAAACCGCCUCGGAUAACGGGGAGGAAGGUGGGGAUGACGUCAAGUCCUCAUGGCCUUUAUGUCCAGGGCUACACACGUGCUACAAUGGUCGGUACAAACCGUCGCAAACCCGUGAGGGGGAGCUAAUCGGAAAAAGCCGACCUCAGUUCGGAUUGGAGUCUGCAACUCGACUCCAUGAAGCUGGAAUCGCUAGUAAUCGCGGAUCAGAACGCCGCGGUGAAUACGUUCCCGGGCCUUGUACACACCGCCCGUCACAUCACGAAAGUGGGCUGUACUAGAAGCAGGUGGGCCAGCCGCAAGGAGGCAGCCUUCCAAGGUAUAACUCAUGAUUGGGGUGAAGUCGUAACAAGGUAACCA
rnacentral:rRNA from 1 species